rnacentral:rRNA from 1 species
CGGGUGAGUAACACGUGGAUAACCUACCUAUAAGACUGGGAUAACUUCGGGAAACCGGAGCUAAUACCGGAUAANAUUUUGAACCGCAUGGUUCAAAAGUGAAAGACGGUCUUGCUGUCACUUAUAGAUGGAUCCGCGCUGCAUUAGCUAGUUGGUAAGGUAACGGCUUACCAAGGCAACGAUGCAUAGCCGACCUGAGAGGGUGAUCGGCCACACUGGAACUGAGACACGGUCCAGACUCCUACGGGAGGCAGCAGUC